rnacentral:rRNA from 1 species
GGUUGAUCCUGCCAGUAGUCAUAUGCUUGUCUCAAAGAUUAAGCCAUGCAUGUCUAAGUAUGAGAGGUUUGAAUACUCUGAAACUGCGAAUGGCUCAUUACAUCAGUAACAAUUUCUUUGAUGGUCCCCUUGCUACUCGGAUACCCGUAGAAAAUCUAGAGCUAAUACGUGCACGAAGGCCCGACCCUCGGGAAGGGCUGCAGCUAUUAGAUACAAGACCGACCGCCUUUGGCGACCCCCGGUGAAUCAUGAUGGCUUUGCGGAUCGCAGAGCGCCUCGCGCGCGGCGACGU